rnacentral:rRNA from 1 species
UACGAGGGGGGCAAGCGUUGUUCGGAUUUAUUGGGCGUAAAGGGUGCGUAGGCGGUUUGGCAAGUCUUGUGUGAAAUCUAUGGGCUCAACCCAUAGCCUGCACGAGAAACUACCGGGCUUGAGUGGUGGAGAGGUGAGUGGAAUUUCCGGUGUAGCGGUGAAAUGCGUAGAUAUCGGAAGGAACACCUGUGGCGAAAGCGGCUCACUGGACACUAACUGACGCUGAUGCACGAAAGCUAGGGGAGCAAACAGG